UACGAAGGGUGCAAGCGUUACUCGGAAUUACUGGGCGUAAAGCGUGCGUAGGUGGUGAGUUAAGUCUGUCGUGAAAGCCCCGGGCUCAACCUGGGAAUGGCGAUGGAUACUGGCUCGCUAGAGUGCGGUAGAGGAGAGUGGAAUUCCCGGUGUAGCGGUGAAAUGCGCAGAUAUCGGGAAGAACACCUAUGGCGAAGGCAGCUCUCUGGGACGGUACUGACGCUGAGACGCGAAAGCGUGGGGAGCGAACAGG
rnacentral:rRNA from 1 species